rnacentral:rRNA from 1 species
CUUUCCUACGGGAGGCAGCAGUGGGGAAUAUUGGGCAAUGGGCGCAAGCCUGAUGCAGCGACGCCGCGUGAGUGAAGAAGUAUUUCGGUAUGUAAAGCUCUAUCAGCAGGGAAGAAAAUGACGGUACCUGACUAAGAAGCCCCGGCUAACUACGUGCCAGCAGCCGCGGCAAUACGUAGGGGGCAAGCGUUAUCCGGAUUUACUGGGUGUAAAGGGAGCGUAGACGGCAGAGCAAGUCUGAAGUGAAAGCCCGCGGCCCAACUGCGGGACUGCUUUGGAAACUGCCCGGCUAGAGUGCUGGAGAG